rnacentral:rRNA from 1 species
UACAGAGGUCUCAAGCGUUGUUCGGAUUCAUUGGGCGUAAAGGGUGCGUAGGUGGCGUGGUAAGUCGGGUGUGAAAUUUCGGAGCUUAACUCCGAAACUGCAUUCGAUACUGCCGUGCUUGAGGACUGGAGAGGAGACUGGAAUUUACGGUGUAGCAGUGAAAUGCGUAGAUAUCGGAAGGAACACCAGUGGCGAAGGCGGCUUCCUGGGCUAAUACUGACACUGAGGUGCGAAAGCAUGGGGAGCAAACAGG